AUCUCUUCCCAGAUCCGACCCGGUUGAAGAUCGGGUUCGGGUACGAGUCGGGUUCGGGUCCGAGUCGGGUUCGGGUCCGAAUCGGGUCCAAUUUCUUUGUGUUUUUGGGAGAGAAUUUUGGACAAAUCUAAUUUGACCAUAUCAUAACUAUGAGGUGCUGGCUGACCCAUGACUUGAAAGACUUGCAAUUGACCUCCAGUCAGAACAAAUGACCUGUGACGAAUUUCCCAAAUUUCAUAUCACACUAUUUUUAUCUAUAUGACUAAUUGGACGGAACUUGGUGUCUCCCAGCUCCCCUCUCAGAAGGGAAAAGAAGGACCCGGACCUUCUUCCAAAUCCAAUUCCAUUGCAGAAACUGGCACAUGACCCAUAUUCAGUCAAGUGAGAUCCCGCGUCUCUUGCCUUUCCGUGACCCCGGCGGUCACUCAUCCGUGCCAGCCACCGUGCCAGCAAAUCACGCCGUCUGCAGCUCCUCCCUCCUUCCGUGUCCAAGAUCCCGCGAUGCAUCAAGACAUGCGCCCAUUCCGGAUUCCCAGCGAGCCCGUGAUCCUUCCUUCCGCAUCAGGCCGCCAUCUUCAACCAUCCCACGGCACCUUCCGUGAUCCCGUCGAUCCCGCUCCAAUCCGGCACCCAAAGAAGGGAAGAUCAGCGAUCCAACGCGUCUCCUCCCUUCCGUUUUUCUUCCUCUUCCGCGUGCAAUCUCGACGAUCAUGCUCCCAGCCAUCCGUGCUUCCUUCCUUGCAUCCACGGUCAACUCCUCACAGCAUCCCGUGAAGGAAAUCCACGGAUCUCACGCUCGUCUACCCUCUUCCUCCUCCCAAUGAUUUCGCGAGUGAGCCCAAGCAUCGAUCCAGCCGGCCGUGAUUCUCCAGCAAAUCGCAGCAUCACAUCCGCAAUCGCCCGUUGAUCCCGUGAUCGGCUCCUCCCAGCAGCCCCUCAUGCCAUUUCUUCCACCCGUCUGCGUUCAUCAAGGAAGACCGCAUCCUCCCAGCAGUCCGUGAUCAACGUACGCCGAGAUCCCAAGCGCCCAUUCCAUGCGGCUGAUCUCUAGUGGGGACCUAUAAAAGGGAGGAGAAGAGGAGAAGGAGGAGAGCUCGGUGGGAGGUGGAGGCCAAGAGAGGAGUCGGCUGGGUGUUGAGAAGAAGAAACAGAGCAAGGCUCUGUUCUUGGGAAGAAGAAAGGAAUAAAGAAAGAUAAAAAAAGGGAGAGUAUUUUAUUUUGGGAGUUCCACCGUGGGAGAAGAAAAGUGACUUGUUCUACUUUCUUUUUCUUUAUUUUAUUUACAAAAGAGAAGGAGUAUUAGGUCUAAUCUCCAUUGUUAUUUGUAAUCGAUGUUAUUUUUAUCAAAUCUAUCAUUUCUUUUUCAUGCAAUCCUUGUUCUAGGAUUAGUUUAAUUUCUGUUUUCUUCAUGCAAU
rnacentral:lncRNA from 1 species